rnacentral:rRNA from 1 species
AUUGAACGCUGGCGGCAUGCCUUACACAUGCAAGUCGAACGGUAACAGGUUAAGCUGACGAGUGGCGAACGGGUGAGUAAUGUAUCGGAACGUGCCCAGUCGUGGGGGAUAACGUAGCGAAAGCUACGCUAAUACCGCAUACGAUCUACGGAUGAAAGCGGGGGAUCGCAAGACCUCGCGCGAUUGGAGCGGCCGAUAUCAGAUUAGGUUGUUGGUGAGGUAAAAGCUCACCAAGCCUGCGAUCUGUAGCUGGUCUGAGAGGACGACUAGCCACACUGGAACUGGGACACGGUCCAGACUCCUACGGGAGGCAGCAGUGGGGAAUUUUGGACAAUGGACGCAAGUCUGAUCCAGCAAUGCCGCGUGCAGGACGAAGGCCUUCGGGUUGUAAACUGCUUUUGUACGGAACGAAACGGUGAGCUCUAAUACAGUUUGCUAAUGACGGUACCGUAAGAAUAAGCACCGGCUAACUACGUGCCAGCCGCCGCAGUAA